AUUGAUCUCAGGUCACAAAUGGAGCUGUUUGGAUUAUGGAACUGUUAUGACUGAACCAUGCUAAGUGCUUUCCACUCUUGAACUUCUUUGUAGCUGUUAUGCCCUGCUGUUGUUGUGCCUUGGCUUGAUGACUAUUUUGGAUGCCUGCUGCAUGUUGUCUUAGCAUGAUUCUAACAGCAUUGCAUUCAAACUCUGAUGUUUGGUUGGUUGUGUUCCUGAACCAUGACACUAUCUAGAACAGUACUUUGCAUUACAUUGCCCUGAUAACUGAGUCUGCUAGCCUUGUUUUGCUGCAGGAUUUGUGUUGUAGCCGGCUAGCAUGAUGAUGAUGGUAUGGUGCUUUUGCAAAGCAGGAUGUGACAUGGGCUAUUGCAGCAGUAUUGGCUAGAUCAUUCGCAUCCAUGGAUUUGUUGCACAUGUAUAAGGUUUUUGUUGCAUCCAAAGGGCAUGAGCAAAGGAUAAUGGUUGAACUGUUAGGGGCUCCUUGGUCCAUGGUUAGGGGCAGGCCAAUGGCAAAUGGU
rnacentral:lncRNA from 1 species